AUGCAGCAGAGCUCCACAAAAGUGCGGGAAUGUCUGACAGGGAAGAAUCAGAGAAACCUUCACCAGCAGCCCGACAUUCACCUGGACGGACAGUGCACUUUUCUUACGUCUGGGCAGGGAAGGCAGGGCGCACCAUCUACCGCAGGCUAGGAUGAUCACCAACCGCCCCACCGCACCCUGCGCCAGCCCUACGGCGCCCGCGGGCUGCAAGUAGCGGCGACCCAGGAGCAUGCGCGCUGCCGCCCCUGGCCUGCCAGGACCCAGAGGGAGCGGAGCACGCGCCUUUGGGAAUCUUCGGUGCGCCAAGUCUGUUCGCCGCCGGGGUCUAUCACCCCCGCCCCUCGCCUCUGCCCGUGAGCGUGUGAGUUGUAGCGUACCCUGGGGUCUGUUCUGGAGGAGGCCUGAGAGCGGGGUUGCCUGGGGCGUGGGUCUCUCAUCCCUCUCGUCCUGGUGAAGAAGAAGAGUAUACCCAGCGGAAUGGCCUGUCCAGAAGACAGCCAAAUACAUCCUUCAAACAGACUUCACUGCAGGAGACAGAGUGGAUUCAUCCUGUAUUCUCCAUGUAGACUUCCAUCUUCAUGAGUACUCCAAGAAGAUGGUUCAGUUGACUAUUGCAAAGGUAAAAAUCCAAGAGAUACAGAUACAGAAUAGGACAGAGAGACAUAUUUUUAAGCUAUUGAUUACAAUUAUGGUAUGCCUAUAGAUUGCAGAACCGAGGAGAAAGGGAACAUUAUGAUUUACCAUCAAGAAAAACUUAGAAUUGGUGCUGAGUAGUUCAUUCUAAGAAUUACCAUUUAUCUGUAUUUGCCCCCAUUUUCAUUGUUACUAGGCCAAAAGUCAUUUCAUAAUUAAUAAGUUGGAUGUCAAAAUCAACUUGUGUUAUUAUAAAAUUAGCAAUCUACAUUAUGUGUUUCUUUACAUUUUUAUAGGAGUAUUUAUAAAUAUACCUAAGAAAACUGACAAUGUGGAGUACAAAUGUUGCAUUUUCAAAACUGGGAAUCUGUUUAUUGAGGCUCUAUUUUUAGUUAUGUAUGAUAAUAGACUGCAUUUCAGGUUUCAAACCUUGUAAAAAUAAUUUCCUUAUGAUAUGUUUACUCAUUUUGCAAAUAAUUAUUGUGUCAUAUAGCAAGAGAUUGUACUUCCAUUCAGCUGGUUAAAGUACAAAAUCAUUGAUAUGGUUUGGCUGUGUCCCCACCCAAAUCUCAACUUGAAUUGUACCUUCCAGAAUUCCCACAGGACCCAGGGGGAGGUAAUUGAAUCAAGGGGGCUGGUCUUUCCCAUGCUAUUCUUGUGAUAGUGAAUAAGUCUCACGAGAUCUGAUGGUUUUAUCAGGGGUUUCUGCUUUUGCUGCUUCUUCAUUUUUCUCUUGCUGCUGCCGUGUAAGAAAUGCCUUUCACCUCCUGCCAUGAUUCUGAGGCCUCCCCAGCCAGGUGGAACUAUAAGUCCAAUUAAACCUCUUUUUGUUCCCAGUCUCAGGUAUGUCUUUAUCAGCAGCAUGAAAAUGGACUAAUAGUACCAGUAGAGUGGGGCAUUGCUGAAAAGAUACCCGAAAAUGUGGAAGCAACUUUGGAACUGGGUGUUGAAAUAAUCUGGAGGGCUCAGAAGAAGAUAGGAAAAUGUAGGAAAGUUUGGAACCUCCUAGAGACUGUGAAUGGCAUUGACAAAAAUACUGAUAGUGAUAUGAACAAUAAGGUCCAGGCUGAGGUGGUCUCAGAUGGAGAUGAAGACCUUGUUGGGAACUGAAGUAAAGGUGACCCUUGUUAUGUUUUAGCAAGGAGACUGGCAGCAUUUCACCCUUGCCCUAGAGAUUUGUGGAACUUAGAGCUUGAGAGAGAUGACUUAGGGUAUCUGGUGGAAUAAAUUUCUAAGCAGCAAAGCAUUCAAAAGGUGACUUGGGUGCUGUUAAAAACAUUCUGUUUUAAAAGGGAAACAAGAGCAUAAAUGUGGAAAAUCUGCAGCCUGAUGAUGCAGUAGAAAAGAAAAACCCAUUUUUUUUAAGGAGAAAUUCAAGCUGGCUGCAGAAAUUUGCAUAAGCAGCAAGGAGCCUAAUGUUAAUCCCCAAGACCAUGGGGAAAAUGUCUCCAGGUCAUGUCAGAGACCUUCAUGGCAGCCCCUCCCAUCACAGGCCCAGAGGCCCAGGAGGAAAAAGUGGUUUUGUGGGCUGGGCCCAGGGUCUCUGUGCUGUGUGCAGCCUAGGGACUUGGUGCCCUGUGUCCCAGCUGCUCCAGCCAUGGCUGAAAGGAGCCAACAUAGAGCUUGGGCUGUGGCUUCAGAGGGUAGAGGCCCCAAGCAUUGGCAGCUUCCAUGUGAUGUUGAGCCUGUGGGUGCAGAGAUGUCAAGAAUUGAGAUUUGGGAACCUCUGCCUAGAUUUCAGAAUAUAUAUGGAAACACCUGGAUGUCCAGGCAAAAGUUUGCUGCAGGGGCAGAGCCCUCAUGGGGAACCUCUCCUAGGGCAGUGUGGAAGGGAAAUGUGGGGCAGAGCCCCCACACAGAGUCCCUGUUGGGGCACUGCCUAGUGGAGCUGUGAGAAGAAGGCCACAGUCCCAGAACGGUAGACCCCAGAAUGGUAGACCCCAGAAUGGUAGAUCAACCACCAACUUGCAUCUUGUGCCUGGAAAAGCUACAGACACUCAACAUCAGCCUGAGAAAGCAGCCAGGAGGGAGGCUGUACUCUGCAAAGCCACAGGGGCGGAGCUGCACAAGACCAUGGGAACCUAUCUCUUGCAUCAGCAUGACCUGAAUGUGAGACAUGGAGUCAAAGGAGAUCAUUAUGGAGCUUUAAAAUUUGACUGCCCCACUGGAUUUCAGACUUGCAUGGACCCUGUAACCCCUUUGUUUUGGCCAAUUUCUCUCAUUUGGAACAGCUGUAUUUACCCAAUACCUGUACCCCCCAUUGUAUCUAGGAGGUAACUAGCUUGCUUUUACAGGCUUGUAAGUGGAAGGGACUUGCCUUGUCUCAGAUGAGACUUUGGACUGUGGACUUUUGGGUUAAUGCUGAAAUGAGUUAAGACUUUGGGGAACUGUUGGGAAGGAAUGAUUGGUUUUGAAAUGUGAGGAUUAUGAAAUUUGGAGGAGCCCAGGGAGGAAUGAUAUGGUUUGGCUGUGUCCCCACCCAAAUCUCAACUUGAAUUGUAUCUCCCAGAAUUCCCACAUGUUGUGGGAGGGACGCAGUGGGAGGUAAUUGAAUCAUGGAGGCCAGUCUUUUCUGUGCUAUUCUCGUGAUAAUAAGUCCCACAAGAUCUGGUGGGUUUAUGAAGAGUUUCUGCUUUUGCUUCUUCCUCAUUUUGCUCUUGAUGCCACCACGUAAGAAGUACCUUUUGCCUCCCACCUGAUUUUGAGGCCUCCCCAGCCAUGUGGAACUGUAAGUCCAAUUAAACCCUUUUUGUUUCCAGUCUCAGAUAUGUCUUUAUCAGCAGCAUGGAAACGAACUAAUACAAUCAUAGUUUUUAAAAACCAAUCUAAAUGUAACUAUUGAACAUGAUUAGCUGUUUCAUCCCUAGUAGAGUGACAGAAGGAAACAUCCAUAGACAGGAGUAAUAAGAAACCAGCUAAACUUCUAAACCAUUUUUAAAGGAUGCGUGUGAGCUGGCAUAACCUACCUACUCUUUCCUAUGGGCCUCUACUGAGAGCAUGGAGGUAAUACAUCUAAUACACUGAAGACCAGGGCAAGAGAGCUGGAAGAAAUCCCUCUUAAGCACUCCAGGCCUUCACUGAGUAUGAGGUGCUGGUCUCCAAAGGCAGAGGGCAAGGCAAGGCAGAGAGGGAUCUCCUGGGGCACAGACAACUGACAAAAGAAACACUUGGAUUGUUGUAUAAGAGGAGUGAGCUUUGUAAAUACCACGUUAGCUGGCCUGCUGUGGAACAGAAUGCCUGUGAAUGACAGUAGUCAGGUAGUGGAUGAACACUGAUCUGAGAGCCUGUAAAAGAAACUCUUUGGAAUGAUAAUGUCAUCUAGACCUUUGAUACGCAAAGUGUGAUUCCUGGACAGAUGUAUUGGCUUUACCUGGCAGCUUGUUGGAAAUGUAAAACCUCAGGCCUCACCCCAGACCUACUGAAUUAUUUAUAUUAAUUAAAAUUAAAUAAUUUUUAUUUCAACAAAAUCCCUGGGUAAUU
ensembl:lncRNA ENTPD1-AS1 ENTPD1 antisense RNA 1